UAGAGAGUAAAAAGAAAAAGAAAAGUAAUGUUUGGGAAAGUGAGUGAUCGGACGGCGAUUGAGGCGCCGGCUGAUAAAGCAUGGGAGAUCUACGGCACUCUUGAAUUGGGAAGACUCGCCGUGAAAAAGCUUCCCAAUAUCUUCGAAAGAAUCGAUGAAGUUGAAGGUGAUGCAGCAGAAGGAACUAUUCUUAACAUUGUCUUCGCACCAGGUGGUCCUCCAAGUUUAAAGAAAAGUUCACGAAGGUAGACCAUGAGAAUCGAAUAAUAGAAACAGAGGUAGUGGAAGGAGGGCACCUGGAUCUCGGGUUUACUCUUUACCAUAUUCGAUUACAGAUUAUUGAGAAAGACAACGAUAGAUGUGUUGUCGAAUCGACGAUCGAGUACGAGUUAAAGGAAGAAGCUGCUGCAAAUGUUUCACUAGUUAACAUACAACCAUACAUUGAAGUUGCUAAAGUUGUCAACGACUAUUUCAUCAACUGAAAAAAUGCUAAAGAUGAUGCCUAGUGAAUUGAAUAAUCAUCUCUCCCUAUGAUGUUUAGUUUGAAAAAAAGAGGCUGAAAAUGCUUGAGUGA